GCUCGCAUGGCCCAGUGGUAAGGCGUCGCACUCGUACGUACAUGCAAAUGCGAAGAUCACCGGUUCAAAUCCGGUUGUGAGCA